AGAGUUUGAUCCUGGCUCAGAUUGAACGCUGGCGGCAUGCCUUACACAUGCAAGUCGAACGGUAACGCGGGGCAACCUGGCGACGAGUGGCGAACGGGUGAGUAAUGCAUCGGAACGUGCCCAGUAGUGGGGGAUAGCCCGGCGAAAGCCGGAUUAAUACCGCAUACGACCUACGGGUGAAAGGGGGGGAUCGCAAGACCUCUCGCUAUUGGAGCGGCCGAUGUCAGAUUAGGUAGUUGGUGGGGUAAAGGCCUACCAAGCCUACGAUCUGUAGCUGGUCUGAGAGGACGACCAGCCACACUGGGACUGAGACACGGCCCAGACUCCUACGGGAGGCAGCAGUGGGGAAUUUUGGACAAUGGGCGCAAGCCUGAUCCAGCCAUGCCGCGUGCGGGAAGAAGGCCUUCGGGUUGGAGACCGCUUUUGUCAGGGAAGAAAUCUCCUGAGUUAAUACCU
rnacentral:rRNA from 1 species